GUUGAACGCUGGCGGCAGGCCUAACACAUGCAAGUCGAACGAGUGGCGGACGGGUGAGUAAUGUCUGGGAAACUGCCCGAUGUAAGGGGGUAACUACUGUAAACGGUAGCUAUUACCGCAUACCAUCUAAUGUGCCCGGAUGGGAUUCGCUAGUAGGUUGGGUAACGGCUCACCUAGGCGACCAUCCCUAGCUGGUCGGAGAGGAUGACCAGCCACACCGCAACUGAGACACGGUCCAGUCUCCGACGGGAGGCAGCAGUGGGGAAUAUUGCACAAUGGGCGCAAGCCUGAUGCAGCCAUGCCGCGUGUAUGAAGAAGGCAUGCGGGUUGUAAAGGACUUUCAGCGAGGAGGCGUUACUCGAAGAAGAAGCACCGGCUAACUCCGUGCCAGCCGCCGCGGUAAUUC
rnacentral:rRNA from 1 species